CAGGUGCUGCUGAAUCAACGUUGCCAAAUGGCUCUCAGAGAAGACCUCUGGCCAUAUUGGGUCUACAGCUAUCGAAGCCAAAUGCCAAAAAGACUGGCUAUUUCAGUGACAAGACUGAUUUUCAUAAAUCUUCUACUGUUCUGGGAUAUGCUGCACAUGCAGUCUCCCUCAUUGCAUCAUAUCUCAAUGUUCCUCUUCGAUAUCCUUUGCGCUUUGGAGGUUCGCAGUCGUAUAUUCUUGAUCCUUCGCCCUCAGUUGAACCAUCAUCUAUAGGUGUACUCAUUUGCUACCUUGUGCCGUUUUGGGACAGUCACUGCAUAAGCCUUUCUGCAUGAGGCAUUCAGUUCACUAUGUUUUUUUUAAUUUUUACUUCCUACCUUCAAAUGCAGAUGGAUUUGCUGAGAAAGGUUGGUGCAGCUAGAGAAGUUAAUUGUUUUUUAUUGUUUGGACAUUAAAAUGUCAUGAUUAUAGGGUGGAACCAAGCAAUAGCUAGCUUGAUCAAAUUAUAUGGUAGAAUAUGCCAGACAUGCAUGUUUAAUGUAGAAUAAGCUAUAUAUUUUCCUGGUGAAUGGCAGAAACUGAAAACA